rnacentral:lncRNA from 1 species
UCCGCUCUGACUCCCUGUGUCAGGACAGAAGACAGCAUCCGUGUACAACAAGGAAAAAGGCUCUUGCCAAAGCCAUCAUGCGCCCUGGUCUCAUACUCCUAACCCCCCAAGCAGGAGCUCCAUGCCUUAAGGCACCCGCGGCACUCACAGCGCAAGGAGGAUCAGCCUGUGCUCAGAAGAGUCCAGCACCUGCAGCCGCAGAGCCAUGCAGAACUGUCCCUUGUGUGACAGAGCAUCUGUCUGGGACUGGGUAUCACAGCCUUUACUUAGACUCCUGAUGCCCCUCUGGCCAUCACAGGUGAAACUGCAUAACACUUCCUCCCUAUGGUCUCUUAGACAACAGUGUCAUUUAGAAAGGCCAAUGUUACUAGUACCAUGGCCGCGUCAGCACAACGUAGACACAGGAAGUAGCUGCUCACGUGGACCUCUCCUGGAUGCUGCUCAUGCAGUUCUGCUUCCAUCAGACACGGUCUCAUCUGACAGAGGCUGGCCUCGAACUCCUCACGCUCCUGCCACAGCCUUCCUACUGCAAACACAAUUAUCUGAACAUUUUAUAGGUGUUUUCCAAAAUUGAAUGAGUAUAUACCUUUUAAA